UACAGAGGUCCCAAGCGUUGUUCGGAUUCAUUGGGCGUAAAGGGUGCGUAGGCGGCGCGGUAAGUCGGGUGUGAAAUCUCGGAGCUUAACUCCGAAACUGCAUUCGAUACUGCCGUGCUUGAGGACUGGAGAGGAGACUGGAAUUUACGGUGUAGCGGUGAAAUGCGUAGAUAUCUGGAGGAACACCGGUGGCGAAGGCGGCAUCCUGGACCAAUUCUGACGCUGAGGAGCGAAAGCCAGGGAGCAAACGGG
rnacentral:rRNA from 1 species